UAGAGGUUAAGCAGAAAGCUAAAGAGGAUCACACAUUUAAUGCAUCAAAACCAAUGGUGCUGAAAUGUGAUGAAAGGUUCAGCUGUUUGAACUGAAAGUAGAGGUCUGGGAUGUGACAGGUCCUACUUUUAUGUAUCUACUGCUCUCUGGAUGUGAUACAAUCACUUUAUUUGCCAAGAGCAUUAACACAAACCCAGAAUGUGACUUAGUGGCCAGGUGCUGCCAGCAACAGACAAUGCACAGACAAAAUACAGACACACAGUCAACACAGUCAACAGCGUCAUACACAGUAUAAAUACAGACAACAGACAAUGCACAGACAGAAUACAGACACACAGUCAACAUAGUCAACAGCGUCAUACACAGUAUAAAUACAGACAACAGACAAUGCACAGACAGAAUACAGACACACAGUCAACACAGUCAACAGCGUCAUACACAGUAUAAAUACAGACAACAGACAACUCUGGAGAGUGAAACUGCUGAUGUGAAAGGGGAUUUAUAAUCACAUUUUGAUUGAUUUCUUUAUUGAUAGACAACUGCUUUCAAGAACACACACACACACACACAAUUUCCACCAAAACGAUGUCAGAGAAUGAACUCUUUGUGAAAUGCCAGAUCAUUUUGUUAUUAUAUUAAUAUUCUACAAACGGUCACAAAAAAAAAUGGAAUUCAAGUUAAAGAGAAACAACUAGUUAAACACGGACAGUUAUUGAGGAACAGUUAAACAAUGGGACAGGAUGUAGUAAUAUACAGCACAGGAUGUAGUAAUAUACAGCACAGGAUGUAGUAAUAUACAGCACAGGAAGGACUCCUGGAGGCGAGCAGAACAACAGAGGUGAUUCUUAUUGUCUCAGUUGAUGUCAACGACAUUUUCUCAUUCUCAGUAUAUAGUCAGUUCAGAGGGUCCUCUCCUUGCUCCAGACAGCUUGGUGACGAUAAUGAGUUCCCUCCCAGGCUCCCCCUUCCCUUCCUCCACCCCUUCCUGAUACUCAACCCCAGCCCCCCCUCUCCUACUCCACCCAUCCCUCCCUCCUCCACCAGUCCCUCCAUCAGCGCCCCCAGACUCUGUCUGAUCCGGACGCAGAAGUUGGGACAGCUGAACGCGUACAGCACCGGGUUUAACACCGGGUUCAGGAAGGCAAAGGUCGUCGCUAUUGGCAACCCCACCUCCACCAACACGACCUUGGUCGGCCAGUACUGGGCGGCAACCUCAAUGAGGCAGAACACGUGAUAAGGCGCCCAGCAGAGGGCAAACGUCGCGAUGACUGAUGUCACCAUUUUGGUGAAGCCACGGGAUAGGCCGGGCUCGGUCCGUCUA
rnacentral:lncRNA from 13 species